GUUUUUCCUGAAGUUGGAGCUAGUGUUUGGCCCAAAAAAGGAACUGCUGUUUUCUGGUAUAAUCUGUUUGCCAGUGGAGAAGGAGAUUAUAGUACACGGCAUGCAGCCUGUCCAGUGCUAGUUGGCAACAAAUGGGUAUCCAAUAAAUGGCUCCAUGAACGUGGACAAGAAUUUCGAAGACCUUGUACGUUGUCAGAAUUGGAAUGACAAACAGGCUUCCCUUUUUCUCCUAUUGUUGUACUCUUAUGUGUCUGAUAUACACAUUUCCUAGUCUUAACUUUCAGGAGUUUACAAUUGACUAACACUCCAUGAUUGAUUCAGUCAUGAACCUCAUCCCAUGUUUCAUCUGUGGACAAUUGCUUACUUUGUGGGUUCUUUUAAAAGUAACACGAAAUCAUCAUAUUGCAUAAAACCUUAAAGUUCUGUUGGUAUCACAGAAGACAAGGCAGAGUUUAAAGUGAGGAAUUUUAUAUUUAAAGAACUUUUUGGUUGGAUAAAAACAUAAUUUGAGCAUCCAGUUUUAGUAUUUCACUACAUCUCAGUUGGUGGGUGUUAAGCUAGAAUGGGCUGUGUGAUAGGAAACAAAUGCCUUACAGAUGUGCCUAGGUGUUCUGUUUACCUAGUGUCUUACUCUGUUUUCUGGAUCUGAAGACUAGUAAUAAACUAGGACACUAACUGGGUUCCAUGUGAUUGCCCUUUCAUAUGAUCUUCUAAGUUGAUUUUUUUCCUCCCAAGUCUUUUUUAAAGAAAGUAUACUGUAUUUUACCAACCCCCUCUCUUUUCUUUUAGCUCCUCUGUGGUGAAUUAAACGUACUUGAGUU
rnacentral:lncRNA from 1 species